AUCAAUGAUUUAUUGCAAUUUCUUUUGUAAAGAUUAUUGAUUAUACCAGUACCGCGGAUUGUCAAUGUAAGCUGGGCAUGGAUCUUGCAUUUGUAAUACCUGUGAAACUACUAAUAUUCUAUCUACAUUGAAGAUGAACGAUAACAAUUACAUAAACAUCAAUGAUUUAUUGCAAUUUCUUUUGUAAAGAUUAUUGAUUAUACCACUACCGCGGAUUGUCAAUGUAAGCUGGGCAUGGAUCUUGCAUUUGUAAUACCUGUGAAACUACUAAUAUUCUAUCUACAUUGAAGAUGAACGAUAACAAUUACAUAAACAUCAAUGAUUUAUUGCAAUUUCUUUUGUAAAGAUUAUUGAUUAUACCACUACCGCGGAUUGUCAAUGUAAGCUGGGCAUGGA
rnacentral:lncRNA from 1 species